rnacentral:misc_RNA from 1 species
UACGGAGAAGGCAAGCGUUACCCGGAAUUACUGGGCGUAAAGCGUUGCGUAGGCGGCCCGCUAAGUGAAGUGCGAAACCUCACGGCUCAACCGUGAGCUGGUACUUCAAACUAUCGGGCUAGAGGACAGUAGAGGUGAGUGGAAUUCCUGGUGUAGGAGUGAUAUCCGUAGAUACCAGGAGGAACACCAAAGGCGAAGGCAACUCACUGGACUGAUCCUGACGCUGAGGCACGAAAGCGUAGGGAGCGAACCGG